rnacentral:lncRNA from 1 species
UAUAUAUAUAUAUAUAGAGUGGGGCUACUAUGCUAUCGGAAGCACGGAGCCUUCCGUGCUUCCAAAUCGUUUUCGAUGUUGCAACUUUCGAAUCGUCGAUCGGCUCCGUUAAACUUGAUCUAGAGUAUUUGGAAUACCUAGAAAAUAAAUUUUAUUAUUUUUCGAUAUUAUUUGCCUAGUGAUCGAAUGGGCUCAAAAUCAACAAAUUUCAAUGGCCGUAGUGAGCCGUUUGCAAGUUUAACGGUGUAGAAAUAUCCAAAUCACGUGAAAUUUUGAUAGAAAAUUCUUUAUACUAUAUAAAACAAGAUCAAUAUCUUUGAUUUAAAAUUUUAAUGUCAUAUUAUUACAUUUUGUAAGAUUUU